GGGAACAUCUGGAUUCAGCUCUUCUCCCUCAACAUCUGUAUCGCUGUCCACCUUGAGGCUCCGAUCUCCAACCCGAGGCCCUUUCAGGUCAGGAUUUGGGGUCUCCGUCACCACAGCUGGAUCCCGCGGGGGAAUUUGGAGCAGCAGCACCCUCGGCGUCCAAAUCCCUGACACCCAGCGUCGGCUCGGGGGGGUUGGGGGCUUCCAGACCACCGAGCUCGACUGCAUUGGAAGCUCUGCCACCACCGAGGCCGGCAACAUCUGGAUCUGGGGUCUCCGUCUCCACAGCUGGAUCCCGCGGGGGAAUUUGGGGCGUUUCGUGGCUUUUCGGGUGGGGAACAUCUGGACUCAGCUCUUCUCCCUCAACGUCGGUGUCGCUGUCGACCUCCAUGCUCCGAUCUCUGCUCUGAGGCCCUUUAAGGUCAGGAUGGGGGGUCUCUGUGACCACAGCUGGAUCUUUUGGGGCAGUUUGGGGCGUUUUGUGGGUUUUCGGGUGGGGAACAUCUGGAUUCAGCUCUUCAUCCUCAACAUCUGUAUCGUUUUCCACCUCCACACUCUGAUCUCUGCUCUGAGGUCCUUUAACAUCAGGAUAUGGGGUCUCAAUCACCACAGCUGGAUCUUUUGGGGUAAUUUGGGGCGUUUUGUGGGUUUU
rnacentral:lncRNA from 1 species